rnacentral:rRNA from 1 species
AAUUUUAAGGUCAAGCUACAAAGGGCGCAGGGUGAAUGCCUUGGCACUAGGAGCCGAAGAAGGACGCGAUAAGCUGCGAUAAGCCUUGGGUAGCCGCAAAUAGGCUGAGAUCCAGGGAUUUCCGAAUGAGGAAACUCACAUGGGUAACCCCAUGUAU